AAUUUAUUACUACUUUAUUUAUCCGUUUAAUUGAUCGAUUCUGCACGAUAGACUAUUAAUAUUUAAAAUAAUUACCUUCAUUUCACUUCUCGUUAUUUAAACUAACACCCAAGAGAAAUUAUUCCAUCAGAAUCGACUGUUAAACAAAUUGCAUCGAACUUAUUUAACGAAUAUUUAAAAAAAUAAUACCAAGAUAUUCUUUAAAAAAUAAUUUAAACUGUGAAAAAACUUCGGUGUAAUUUUUCCCCAUUGUUACAUUUUGUCAAUUGCAAUUUUCAGGGUUGCCGGAUCUCUAGUUGAGUCCAAAAAGAAGGGAGGAUUGACGAAAGAAAAUUGUUUUUUUGAGGUCGGAGAUUUUUUCUUUCUGAUGCAGCCUACAACUUCGCCCCCUGGUGGUCGAUCCAAUUUUAACGAAUAUUCCUCAAAAAUGCAUUUCGUCCUUGGAAAAAAAUUCAUUUUGAAUUGAACAUAAAAAAAUUUAGAAAGCAAAGCAAAAGAAACUAGUAGGAUUAAAACGCGAGAAAGAUAUGAAAAAUGUAAAAUAAGAAGAGAGGACUGGCGAUGACCAAUGCAGUUUGCCAAUGUUAAAACUAAUUAAAGCAACAACUGAACUAGAAUUACAAUACAACAAAAACAAUAUAACAAGUAUGGACAUUUUAAGUAUAAAUUAUUAAAUAAAACAGCUGUAAAUAUAUGCAAUUAAAAUAAUUCACAUAAUAGCAUUUCAUUCUUCUUCAGGUAUACCUCAAGGCUCUCAUAUUGGUCCACUUUUGUUUCUUGACUUUAUUAACGAAUUUCAACUACUUUUUUUAAUUACUAAACUUCUACUCUUUGCUGAUGGAUUUAAAUAUUUAAGUUCAUUAAAUCAAGAUCUGAUCAAGUCAUACUUCAGACAACCUUACUUCUCUGGACACAUGGUCCUUUGAAUGAUCUUUAACUUAAUAUCUCUAAAUGCAAUUAUAUUUCCUUUUCUAGAAUUACCUGAUUUAUUGUCUUAAAUUUCAUCUUAUAUUAAUAAUGAAACUUUUACUUAAGAUUUAGGCAUCACUUUUACUAUCAA